CCCAGACUCCUACGGGAGGCAGCAGUGGGGAAUAUUGCACAAUGGGGGAAACCCUGAUGCAGCGACGCCGCGUGAGUGAAGAAGUAUUUCGGUAUGUAAAGCUCUAUCAGCAGGGAAGAAAAUGACGGUACCUGAUUAAGAAGCCCCGGCUAACUACGUGCCAGCAGCCGCGGUAAUACGUAGGGGGCAAGCGUUAUCCGGAUUUACUGGGUGUAAAGGGAGCGUAGACGGCGUUGCAAGUCAGAUGUGAAAACCUAGGGCUCAACCGUAGGACUGCAUCUGAAACUGUAAUGCUAGAGUGCAGGAGAGGUAAGCGGAAUUCCUAGUGUAGCGGUGAAAUGCGUAGAUAUUAGGAGGAACACCAGUGGCGAAGGCGGCUUACUGGACUGUAACUGACGUUGAGGAGCGAAAGUGUGGGGAGCAAACAGGAUUAGAUACCCCCGUAAAA
rnacentral:rRNA from 1 species